rnacentral:rRNA from 1 species
UACGAAGGGGGCUAGCGUUGCUCGGAAUGACUGGGCGUAAAGGGCGCGUAGGCGGAGUGCUUUGUCAGACGUGAAAUUCCAGGGCUUAACCUUGGGGCUGCGUUUGAGACGGGCAUUCUAGAGUUUGGAAGAGGGUCGUGGAAUUCCCAGUGUAGAGGUGAAAUUCGUAGAUAUCGGGAGGAACACCUGUGGCGAAAGCGGCGCACUGGACCAUAACUGACGCUGAGGCGCGAAAGCUAGGGGAGCAACCAGG